rnacentral:lncRNA from 10 species
AUUGCUGGCGGACGGAGACUCCUAGGGUGUUUUUACGAAUCCAAUGUUACUGAUGAAGAAACCGGCACUUGCAGAUUCCUCCCUGCGGUUUCCAAGGUAUCAUAUUCUAUCUUGUCUCAGGGUCUUGCCUAUGCUGUUCUCUGGAGGAGACUGUCUUCUGUUCUCCUGGUUGAUUCCUUUUCUCUCAUAAAGAUUCUAGUUAGUUGUCACCUCCUCCUCCUCCACAAAGCUUUCCUUUUAGCCCUCAACUCAUUCAGGUUGUGUUGGUGUCAAACCAGUUCUGCCUAGAUCCAAAAUCCUAACAUUUUCCACGAUAUACCCAAAGCAAAGGGCCUAGAGGAAUUACUCCACCUUCCCAUACCUUAGGGACAACCCUGUCCCUUUCUUAACAUCUCUCUCUCUCUCUCACUUUUCCCUUUGCCAGUUCAUAGGCGACAGAACAAGGCAAGUUUGAGAGCACUCUUUGGAGCUUUUUGGGUUUUCUCACCCUGGUCCAAUAUCUCCUUACUGUACCUUCACAUCUUCCUUUUCCUCUUCCAGUCCCACUCCUCUCCCCACCCACAUAUAGGCUCCUAGCGAGUAAGACCAAAUUUAGCUCAUUUUUGUAUGCCCCUAAUUUAUGUACGUUUAACGCAGCGUUUCACAGUCUCUGUACUAUUGACAAUUGGGGCUGAAUAUUUAUUGUAGGGGGCUGUCCUGUGCAUCGUAGGAUGCUUAGCAGAAUACCUGGCCUCUCUUCACUAGAUGCCAGUAGUAUCCUCCCGCUAGUGCGACAACCAAAAAUGUCUCGGGGCGGGGGGCUGGGUGUGGGGGGUGGGGAGUGUGGCGUUUACAGAACUGAAUUGAUAUGAAUUUCCAAGAAAGUCCCUGGCUCAAGGCCUGAACUACUUGACUUUGGAUUUUUUUCAGGGUAUAAUUUGUUAAACUCUUAAAAAUUUACACCCUGCUUUAAAGUUCACAACCCACGCCUUGCUCAUCACUGCUUCAGUGUGGUAAACCUGCCACAGCACAGCCCAUUGGGAUUUCUUAAUAGAAAGAAUUCAUUAUUCUAUCUCUCUUCUUCCCAGUACUUCUCCUCCUAAGUAGUCAGAGCCCUAAGGUUAACAGGCCCAGAACUUCAUAUUCUUUUGUGAGCCUAAUCAAUCGGCAGGAUCCCAACAGUGGUAGCAGACAGGAGUGGCCAGUUUUGAUGCUUUAUUCUUUUCCUGCCUAUUCCUAGGGGAAAGGGCAGACUGAUCUUGGGAGUAGGAUAGAGGACAGCUUGCAAGUCCCCUCUGGUGGCUAUCUAAAGCCACUUGCUAAGCCUAGAGGCUCCAUCUGGCUUUAAUUUCAGAGAAGGAAUGUGUAAAACUGGUGCUAUGAAGAUUGCAUAGAGUCAACACGAGGAGAGACCUCAAUCCAUGAUCUUUUCCACAUCUCAGCGAAAUAGAAUACCUUUACUAAGAUCAGACACCUAUGUGCUCACUAUAGGCCCAGACGUUCAAAAUUUCUAAUAAGGAGGAAGAUAUCUGGAAACAACUGGAAGAUGUAACAAGAAACCACAGAGUAACUGAAAACUUUGAAACUACAGGCCAUGGAAUUGGCACACAUUCAAUUUAUUUUAGCUUAUUUGUCAACAAAGGCAUCAUAGUCAUCAAUACCAUUCACCACAGAGGCACCCAUACCUGGGAGCUAGUCAAGGCUGGUCAAGUCUCUCCAUCUUGCAGAGAUGGCUCCAAUGCUGUUAUAUUUGACGUUAUUAAAAAACCUACAUUACCAAUUUCCCUUGUCCCAAAACUCAGGCUGCCAGCAGAGGGUUGGAGGUAUAAAUAGGUGUAGUUACAAGAAUCACAUAUACCCUUUUCCCCAUAUAAGCACUCCACUUUAAUCCACAGAGGUCAGAUACUUGACUAAAUGGAUAGCACCUGGCACUGAGAAAGCUUAAUAAGACGCAGUAAGUUUUAAAGUACCUGCUUUUUGAGGCUAUCAGGCAGUUAGGAUAAUUUAGUAAAAAAAGGAUAGAACACCCUCCUCUCUCCAUAAAGGGCAGGUGUGGGUGUAAUGAUGCAACAGAGGUUGUAGGGCUCUAGAUUGAGACAAGGAAUGAUGUGUAUGCAGUCAGCAGUGCGUGCCAGGCUCUGUAAAUAAGCAGCACUUUUUAUAUAUCGCUUCAUUAAAUCCUUAUCCUAGGAGAUAAGCAGUAUCCAUUUCACAGGCAAGAAAAUUGAGGCUGUGAGUGGUUAUGUAAUUUGACUAAGUUACAUAACUUGUAAAUGGCAGAGCUGGGAUUCAAACCCAAGCUAGCCUGCUUUAAAGUUCAAGUUUUUUUGCACAAUAUUGUGAGGUGGAGAAACUUGUGCAGCAGUGGAUAGCUUGGGCUUACCCUAUGAUUCUGAAAUAAAGACCCAGGCACCCAAGGUUCCAUCCUUCACAAAUGAGGAGUCAAGCCCUACUGCAGGGGAGCAAAUCCUUUGAGCUGACCGGCUUCAUUGCUAGCUGCUGCAUUCUCCUCCUCUUAACUGGAAUGGCACUAAUUUUGAGGAUUACUGACUGCCCAGACGAUUCUAGCCCUGUGUCCCUUAAUCUAAAUAAUCAGAAGCCAAAGUGGCAGAAGAUUCUGCUAUGAAAAGAAAACAUCUUGCAUACAGGAUGCAGAACUAGUUUAGGUAGUCAACUAAAGAAGGUGGCUAUCAGAAAGCUACCCAAAGAUGGUUACCCUACUGGCAGUUGAGAAAGAAUAGGCAAUUGGAUUAUCCUUUGGUUAAAUCAGGCAACUUGAUUUAGAGACAAAUCUCUGCCUGAUGCACUUCUUUCUUCCCUUUGGCUGGAUAUAAUCAGGUCCUAGUUAUCAAGGUCCUUUGGUCCCAAACUGGGGGAUGCUGAUUUCCUGCAUUUUUCAACUAAAAGGGAGUCAGGGACCUAGAACUAUGGUUUAGUUUCUCUGAGUUAAGCCUACAGUCCUCGACUCCCCAGGGUGGUGGUUCUGAGAAGACAGGUUCUUUACACACACAGCCAGGAUGCGCGUGUAUGCUGGCUGGUAGGAGGGGAACAUGAUAUUUAUUAACUAAGGUCAAACAUGCCUAUUGGUAACAUUUUCACAUCCUAAGGUCAAACAUGCCCAUUGGUAACAUUUUCACAUCCUUGCCCUACAGCAGGAUCUCUAGUUUGUUGCCCAGAGAUCUCUCUCAUCUCUGAAUUUCUAGUUCACAGAAACAAGAAAUACCCUUAAGAGUCCAUGUUAAGAAUAUUUUAUUUGUUUUUUGAGAUUACAUAGUCAUUAUUGCUGAUCUAAUACAAUCACUUAGACAUAAAGAUUUCCAAGAACUUCUCAGAAAUGGUGAUCUUUAGAAGUGUUAUUCCUUUCAGUAAGAUGACAGAACUAGAUGAUUACGUAUAUAGAUAU